rnacentral:rRNA from 1 species
UAGGGAAUCUUCGGCAAUGGGGGCAACCCUGACCGAGCAACGCCGCGUGAGUGAAGAAGGUUUUCGGAUCGUAAAGCUCUGUUGUAAGUCAAGAACGGGUGUGAGAGUGGAAAGUUCACACUGUGACGGUAGCUUACCAGAAAGGGACGGCUAACUACGUGCCAGCAGCCGCGGUAAUACGUAGGUCCCGAGCGUUGUCCGGAUUUAUUGGGCGUAAAGCGAGCGCAGGCGGUUUGAUAAGUCUGAAGUUAAAGGCUGUGGCUCAACCAUAGUUCGCUUUGGAAACUGUCACACUUGAGUGCAGAAGGGGAGAGUGGAAUUCCAUGUGUAGCGGUGAAAUGCGUAGAUAUAUGGAGGAACACCGGUGGCGAAAGCGGCUCUCUGGUCUGUAACUGACGCUGAGGCUCGAAAGCGUGGGGAGCGAACAGG